rnacentral:other from 1 species
AACAGCCUGCCGUGUUCGUGAUGCCGAGACUUGUUUGCGCCAAUCACGUCACGAAGGGGGCCGGACCUCUGGAAGGGGUGCGUAUGCCGGGUUGCCGGAAACGCGCUAAACGGACAGGGCGCCCCCACUUGGUCACCAGACCAAACAAGGUAAGCACACGGCACGGCGGGUCGUAU